CAGGUGUGGGGGGACGUGAGUGGUGGUGUGUCAGGGCAUGAAGCCAAGUCCCUCCAGAGAAGGCUUUUGCUAGAGGCAUGGGUGGGAGUUGCCAGUGGGCUGUGGCCUGGGACCUGUGUUUCUUGGGCCUGACUUGUUGUUUUCUUUUGUGGUGGCUGUGGUGACUGUGCAGAGGAGCUCCGUGCCAAGUCUGAAAAUCUGGAGAAGAAGAACGGUGAGUGGGACUGUACCAUGGCAAGGCAUCCCUUCCACCAAUAUGCAGGUUUAUUUGUCAUGGUGUUGUGCUGGUGGUGAGACGUGCAUGUAGGAGUGUUUGGAAGAGCUGGGAGUGCAGGAGGGGCUGUGGAGGGAAGACAGAGCUGGGGAGCAUGGAGAUGAAGGGCCUGAGCCGUCCUUAAUGUUGCUGGUGAAGUGGUGUCUGGUGUUGGUGGCAGCAAGGCAAGCCAGGUGUGGGGGGACGUGUGUGGUGGUGUGUCAGGGCAUGAAGCCAAGUCCCUCCAGAGAAGGCUUUUGGUAGAGGCAUGGGUGGGAAUUCCCCGUGUGCUGUGUUUCUUGGGCCUGAUUUGCUGUCUUCUUUUGUGGUGGCUGUGGUGACUGUGCAGAGGAGCUCCGUGCCAAGUCUGGUGAGUCCUUGUGCUUGCCCUCAGUCAUUUGCUACUGAGGGCCUCCCAUCCCAUUCCGCAAGCCCGUGUGGGCUCUGGCAUUGUAAGUAAGCUGUUGCCCCCUUCCUCCUUGUCUUCUUGCAGAAAAUCUGGAGAAGAAGAACGGUGAGUGGGACAGUAUCAUGGGAAGCGUCCCUUCCACCAAUAUGCAGGUUUCUUUGUCAUGGUGUUGUGCUGGUGGUGAGACGUGCAUGUAGGAGUGUUUGGAAGUGCUGAGAGUGCAGGAGGGGCUGUGGAGGGAAGACAGAGCUGGGGAGCGUGGUGAUGGAGAGCCUGGGCCCUGAGCUGCCCUUUAUGCUGUCAGGGAAGUGGAGGCAGGUGUUGGUUGGCAGUGAUUCAAUCCAAGUGGUGGAGGACGUGAGUGGUGGUGUGUCAGGGUGUGAAGCCAAGUCCCUCCAGAGAAGGCUUUUGCUAGAGGCAUGGGUGGGAGUUGCCAGUGGGCUGUGGCCUGGGACCUGUGUUUCUUGGGCCUGACUUGUUGUCUUCUUUUGUGGUGGCUGUGGUGACUGUGCAGAGGAGCUCCGUGCCAAGUCUG